rnacentral:lncRNA from 1 species
AAGGAGUAAAAUGCCUGAGCUCAAGUGACAACAAGCAACCCCAGACUAGAGACAGGAUCCUUCUCCCCACUUCGAGCAGAUCCCAGCAUGAAUCCUGCAGUAUGGUGAUGGCAAAAGUCAGUGCAGGACCACUGGGACUCCUGGAGCUUCUCACAUCUCUGAGAGCACCAGCAGCAGUCCCCAGAUAGCAGAUGACUGGUAGGAAGAUGAGGCAAGUUUGCGGUCCAUUGUCAUGGAUAGUGGAGACAACACUGGGCCAGAAGUGGUAAGACCUGAAUCCAAGACUCAGCUCUGCCACUUGCUAAAUGGGACUUUGAAUAAACCAUUUCUCUGCACUUAAGUUCCUUACCAACAAAACGAGGGAAGUGGCCUACAUGCCUAGAUAUCAACAUUUCAUGUCACGUAGAGAUCUAGCAUCACAAGAAUCCAAGUCAUCCUCUGUUGCCUUUAAGAAAUUAGAAUUAAAGGAAUCAGAAUUGAAGUGAAUCUGACUACACUAAGCCUAUCACUUGUGACAGCCAUGGGAAGAUAUCAUUGGUUGCUGAGGAGCAGAAAUAAGCAGAGACCUAUUGUGUUAGGUUAUCAUUCAUUUCAGUAACAGAAAUAAUCUAUUCAGAGUCAUGGAAAAAACAGAGUGGGCUGUUGGAAUUGGAAAGAAACAAACAAAAAGCAGAUCAGCAAGUUUUCAUAUUGCACUAUUUUCAAUGGCUGGAGCAUCAACAUUUUACAACAAGAAAAAAAUUAAAAUUCUUCAACAUUUGGAAAAGAAGUGUUUGUAAAACUUUUCACAUCCAUUCACCAUCCGGAAAAGCAAGGUUUUACAGUGAGGCCUGAUGAUGUCUAGAGUCACCAUGCAUCUUGGAAAAUGACCUCCUAUUUAUUUCUUCUACAGGACACCAUGGUGUUCACCUUUCUACAACUUUACACUUGCUGAGGACAUAUUGUGGAAAAUUAAGAGAAAUAUAUAUGGAUGGCCAAGGCUGUA